rnacentral:snoRNA from 1 species
AAGACUGUACUUUCAGGGAUCGUUUCUUUAGUUGUUGACUUGAGGAAUGUGUUUCUAAACAGUACGGUCUCGCUGCCCACAAUGAAGAGUUGAGAUGUUUUCUCCUGAGCAGGAAACUGGUGGAAAGACUUUGAUUCUUUCUCACUGUUGAUGAUUGUUCAGUGUUUCUGAGGGAGGAAACACGGUCUGAGUGGA